CAGCACGUAUUUCUCCGUCUCUUCGUAUGAGCGUCUCUGUCAGUCGUGUUUGACUUGGACGUGCAUGAAAUGCAUUUCUGCUAAGCGAUGAGUCGUCGUAGCAGGCCUGCUGCAUUUUCCGCUUUUUUUUGCAGCGCAACAGUAGAAAGGAGACGAGCAAAGUGCCACCCACAGCACCACGGGAUCAGAUGAAAUGUUUGGCUGGAGAAAGAACACCUUCUGCCAGGAGCUGAGUGAACAUGGACCGCUGGGAUUUCAUGCUUUGUGUGUAAAACAGACGGCAGGCAUGAGUGUUCAUGUUUGAGCUGCGGAGUGUUGUAUUUAGUAUCAAAUCUGAGCUCGGGAGACAGCUGGGACACAAAAGGCCAGCGUUCAGAGUGUGGGAGGAUUAAAAUGGUACUGCAAGCAUCUGGCCCUGACUCAGGCACCACACACUCAUCUGGACUCCCAAAAAUAACUGUCAGUCUCAGCACUCUCCCAAAGAAUUCACUGAUGCCCACAACAACACUUGUGGACAGUAGAAGCCGUCCUGCCAUGAAGGUUUCUGUUGAGAGGUACUUCCUGUUCGCCAUCACUCCUGAUAACCGGACAGGAAACGGCUGGAUCAAGUCUACACAUCACCAGGCCCUGGUCUUCAAUAGCUUUAUCAAAAAAUGGACAUAAGACAGCUGACCUCUCUGGA